UCAGAGUCUCCAUACCUGACAUAUUAAUGACUCUAAAGCCGGAUCACAGUUGAUUUGGUGGAACCGGUUCUGUUCAGUUCACUGGUCUUUAACCGUCUUCAGGAAAGCGUUUCCUGCUGUGAACAUUGUUCUGUGUUUGUGUUUCUUCUUUAUCUUGUUGUAAAGGUCACGGCUAAACUCUGAAGUUAAUCAACUGCAGCUCUGAACUUUGAUUCGUGCGUCUUGGAAGCAGAAAGAUUCGUGUUGAGUCUGAGUUUCCUCACAACAACCUAUCAGUGCGUUUAUUUAUCGUUCUUUUACAGAACUGAUCCUUCAGCUGAUCAGGUGUUCAGAGGAUUAUUUCAAAUUGAAGCAGCAGAUUUCAUGUCAUUCCUUGAACAACCACACGUCAUGCAGAAAUGAAGAACCUGAGCUCAGCUGAAGGUGUUUCUGUUGACUUGUUGGAUGGUCAGAGCUCACAGCAGUGGAUAUUUAAAGACACAAACACUCAGAAGGAUUUAGUGUUGAGGUGCAGGCUUGCAGUAAACAUGACAUUUGGAGACACAUCGACCUAUAAACAAAUCGCUGCUUUGAUUUAACCUUUCACUUGUUGGACUUCAUCUUUUAAAUCCAUUCAGACUGAAAGAUCACAGCUAGUAUUUGUAGAAAUGCAGAAAUAAAGAAAAUUUUGAAGUUAAAAAAAAAACUGUGAAAGUUCAGUUACCAAAGGACCAGUCCAACAUUUUGUGUGUCUUCAGUCUCUGUUCCCAGUGAUGGUCCUGAUCUGCUGCUUUGGUCGCAGAUGCUGUUCUCAGGUUUGAUUAGACUGACGAGCUGCUCACCUCCAUCUGCAACAGGAGCUCCAGGAAGUACCCUCGUCCAAGCAGCACUAAUGAUUUCCUCUUGUCUCUUUGGUUGUUUGCUAUUCUGAGUUCUUGGAAGUAGAAAUGUAGAGUGUUUCAUCUUCAGACAGUGUCCAGCUGUGAGUAACACCACUAAUCAGGAGGUCUAGAAGGAGUCAUAGUUCCACUAAUCAGGAGGUCUAGAAGGAGUCAUAGUACCACUAAUCAGGAGGUCUAGAAGGAGUCAUAGUUCCACUAAUCAGGAGGUCUAGAAGGAGUCAUAGUUCCACUAAUCAGGAGGUCUAGGAGGAGUCAUAGUUCCACUAAUCAGGAGGUCUAGAAGGAGUCAUAGUUCCACUAAUCAGGAGGUCUAGAAGGAGUCAUAGUUCCACCAAUCAGGAGGUCUAGAAGGAGUCAUAGUUCCACUAAUCAGAGCUCCUAGAAUGACUCCACAGACAGUGAUCUACUUUCUCCAUCAGCUGUAAAAACAGACAUCAGCUGCUUCAGACUUGGUUCAGGGGUUCUCCAUGGAAACCAGAGUUAGUGUGAAGCUCAGACAGUGUGAAGGAACCUUCAGAAGAUCAACCUCUAUGGACGGAGGACUAGAACUAAACCUGGUUGCUGCUCAGAACUAAACUUCCACAUGAAAGUUUACUGUAGAACAUGAGGAUAAUAAUAAUAAUAAUAAUAACUUUAUUUAUAAAGCACCAUUUAUACAAGAAUGCACCUCACAUUGCUUCCCAAUCAUAAAAUACAAACGUUAAAAUCUACUAAAACAUUGCUAUCAUAGUGAAUAAAUCUAAAAGGAGGAAAUGCAAUAAAGAAGCCUGAAUGAAAGAAGAAGAAUCCUGAUGGAUGUUGGAGAACAUUCUUUGGUCAGAGGAAGAUCAAUGAGUUGGGCUCAGAUGGAGUCCAGAUAUUUGGUGAGAACCUGACCAGGACUACCACGGUGGAUGCAUGGUCCUGACAGUGAAGCAUGGAGGUG